UGUCCAGGGUGGGAAUCGAACCCACAGUGUUCCGCUUACCGGGCAGAUGCCAUGUCUACUAGGCUCUCUACCCUGGAC
rnacentral:tRNA from 1 species